GAUUGGUCCGAGUGCAGUGGUGUUUGUGGCUAAUUGAUCACAACCAGUUACAGAUUCCUUUGUUCCUUCUCCACUCCCACUGCUCCACUUGACCAGCCUAAA
rnacentral:Y_RNA from 1 species